CCUACGGGUGGCAGCAGUAGGGAAUCUUUCACACUGGGCGAAAGCCUGAUGGAGCAACGCCGCGUGCAGGAUGAAGGCCUUCGGGUUGUAAACUGCUGUUAUAAGCGAGAAAUAUGAUGGUAACUUAUGAAUAAGGAUCGGCUAACUACGUGCCAGCAGCCGCGGUCAUACGUAGGAUCCGAGCAUUAUCCGGAGUGACUGGGUGUAAAGAGUUGCGUAGGUGGCAUAAUAAGUAGCUAGUGAAAUCUGGUGGCUCAACCAUUCAGACGAUUAGCUAAACUGUUAAGCUCGAGACCGUUAGGGGUAACUGGAAUUUCUAGUGUAGGAGUGAAAUCCGUAGAUAUUAGAAGGAACACCAAUAGCGUAGGCAGGUUGCUGGGACGGUUCUGACACUAAGGCACGAAAGCGUAGGGAGCAAACGGGAUUAGAUACCCUAGUAGUC
rnacentral:rRNA from 1 species